GGGGGCGUAGCUCAGUUGGGAGAGCAUCAGGCUGGCAGUCUGAGGGUCAGGGGUUCGAAUCCCCUCGCCUCCACCA
rnacentral:tRNA from 1 species